rnacentral:lncRNA from 1 species
AGUUAUUACUAGUUAUCAUUUGUGGCACCGUUACAAUUAGUAGUACUUUAUCAGUAUUAUUGGUUUUGGUAGUAUAUUUAGUUACAAUACACACAUGUACAAAAGGUAUACAGCAAAUCUCUCAAGCUACCACAAACAGAAAGUAAUCGUAAGGAUUCUUGAGCUACAAAGAAGAAAGUGCGUAAGAAGAGCUCGGAGAACCAGAGCACAUGACACCCUGACCCUUAACAAAGAGGACACGAUCCGGACCUGGUUCAGACUUCUCUUAAUCGGUACAGCGUUCGGGCUGCGGUCGGCUUUUUCCGUCGUCAGUCCCGAACCCGCCUUUCCCGGAUAUUACGUAAGCAAUCCACCGGACGCAGCUGUUGUUCAACAAACAUGGCGUCGGUUACAACAGCUACAUCCGAGUGGAUUCAGUUCUUCAAAGACGCAGGAAUCCCCCCAGGCCUGGCGGUGAACUAUGCCGUCUCCUUUGUGGAUAACAGGUAGGACUGGGGAUCUGUGCCCCUUUUACUGGGCUGCUCUUUACUCAAGGACUCACUACUCAAAAUAAUCCUUCAAUUUUGGUAAGCAAAGUGUUUUACCAGGUUGGCCAUUUGGGCAGGAAAGGCUGGUUGUGUUCUUUAUAUUUGUCUUUGUUUUACCCUCCAUUAACAUCUGAUGUGAAAAGAAUGCAGUCUGUGGCCUGGCUGACACAGAUAUGCUGUCUUAUCACCUCAGCUGGUGCCAUGAGCCAGGCUUCAGCAAAUGACAGUCUGUGGUACUGUAUCAGACCCGGGCUGGUGUGGAAUGCAAACCCUAGACCUCUCAUUGUGAUAUAUAAUUAUAAUGUGCAUUUUGAUUCAAACCGGGGUUUGAAUCCGAGUCUUC